rnacentral:rRNA from 1 species
UACGAAGGGUGCAAACGUUGCUCGGAAUUAUUGGGCGUAAAGCGCACGUAGGCGGUAUUGCAAGUCGGAUGUGAAAUCCCUCGGCUUAACCAAGGAAGUGCAUCCGAAACUGCUGUACUUGAGUACGAAAGAGGAUCGCGGAAUUCCCGGUGUAGAGGUGAAAUUCGUAGAUAUCGGGAGGAACACCAGCGGCGAAGGCGGCUCUCUGGGACGGUACUGACGCUGAGACGCGAAAGCGUGGGGGAGCAAACAGGG